rnacentral:rRNA from 1 species
GACGUAGGGGCCGAGCGUUGUCCGGAGUUACUGGGCGUAAAGCGCACGUAGGCGGCUUGUUAAGUCGGGGGUGAAAUCCUGGAGCUCAACUCCAGAACUGCCUUCGAUACUGGCGAGCUCGAGUUCGGGAGAGGUGAGUGGAACUGCGAGUGUAGAGGUGAAAUUCGUAGAUAUUCGCAAGAACACCAGUGGCGAAGGCGGCUCACUGGCCCGAUACUGACGCUGAGGUGCGAAAGCGUGGGGAGCAAACAGG